AAACAUGUCUUUUUGAAAAUAAUUUAAAGUCUAAUCUGCCCACUGAUNAAAUUAUUAAAGGGCUGCAGUAUUUUGACUGUACAAAGGUAGCAUAAUCAUUAGUCUCUUAAUUGGUGACUUGUAUGAAAGAUUGGAUGAAAUAUAUACUGUCUCUAUUUAAUUUAUAAAAUUUAAUUUUUUAGUAAAAAAGCUAAAAUGAAUUUAAAAGACGAGAAGACCCUAUAGAGUUUAAUAAUUUAUUUAAUUAUUAUUAAUGUAUAAAUUUUAAAAUUAAAAUUGAAUAAAUUAUUUUGUUGGGGUGAUAGAAAAAUUAAAUUAACUUUUUUUUUAUUUUAUACAUUAAUUUAUGAAUAAAUGAUCCAUUAAUAAUGAUUAAAAGAAAAAAUUACCUUAGGGAUAACAGCGUAAUUUUUUUUUUUAGUUCAAAUAGGAAAAAAAGUUUGCGACCUCGAUGUUGGAUUAAGAUAAAAAUUAAAUGCAAAA
rnacentral:rRNA from 1 species